UUCCGCUCCUCUGCGCUCCCUUCCGUCCCUCCUCCCGCUGCCCCCCUCCAUAGGUCCCAAUGUAGUCGCCCGUAGCGACGGCCUCCACGCUAGGCCGGUCCUGCGCGCCCGAGCCCGUGCCCUCCUUGUCCUCAUGUCCAGGUCCCCCACUUCAAACCCAGUGCGACCCUCUUGUCAGUGCCCGGAUCAUGCGCACACUAGGCCCCGGAGAAGCCGCCCAGCACCGCCCAUUCUUUGGCCCAGUGCUUCGUCUCUCCUGCCUCAGUUUCCCCAUCUGUAACGGCGUGAUCGUGGCGCCCCAGAUCAGGGCCUGGGGCUGGGAAGGCUCAGGUGGUCCAUGCGGGGUCGGUUCCCCACCAAGCGGGAAGACCGGAAAGGGUCGCGAUGCUGUCCCCAAGGCUGGCUGUGCCCUCCACCGGGCGACGUCAGCUUCCUCUUUGGCGCUCUGAAGAUUGUAUUUCCAUCUGGAUCGUGCGAAUGACAGUGUGCGGAGGGCCUGCUGGCUCUGGGCAGGUGCUCAGAAAAAUCACUGUUUUUAUUGUUGGGAAGAGUUCUCAUGAGCAAGCCCCACCUUGGGCCACCCUGAGCAGGUGACACUCCAGUCCAGUCAACUGGUGACUGCAGCAGCCCUUCAGGGACAGAGGCCCUGUCAUGUCCCAAACCCCAACUGGUAAUGAAAGGCAGAGGAUGAGAACCACACUAAUGAAGAUGAAGACCAUGCUGGCCACGCAGAAUGUCGUGGCACCCAGAGAUCCUCGAUGGGCUGUGGACACAACAAGGAGCCCAGAAGCGGACAAGAGAAGAGGCCGUCUCCAGCGUCCCAGCAGGGGACUGGGGACUUCUCCAUUCUUUCCCCUUUCCCCAGGACUGGGCCACUUCUGGGCGUGGCAGGGAUUCAAGUUUACCUCACUCUGAAAAUGUUAGGACUACAAAACUGGGCUGGGGCAUAGCUAAGUGCCAGAGCGUGCCUUAGU
rnacentral:lncRNA from 1 species